CCUACGGGUGGCAGCAGUGGGGAAUUUUGGACAAUGGGGGCAACCCUGAUCCAGCCAUGCCGCGUGAGUGAAGAAGGCCUUCGGGUUGUAAAGCUCUUUCGGCCGGGACGAAAUCGCGCCUUUUAAUACGAGGCGUGGAUGACGGUACCGGAAGAAGAAGGACCGGCUAACUACGUGCCAGCAGCCGCGGUAAUACGUAGGGUCCGAGCGUUAAUCGGAAUUACUGGGCGUAAAGCGUGCGCAGGCGGUUUUGUAAGCCAGAUGUGAAAUCCCCGGGCUUAACCUGGGAACUGCAUUUGGGACUGCAAGGCUGGAGUACGGCAGAGGGAGGUGGAAUUCCACGUGUAGCAGUGAAAUGCGUAGAGAUGUGGAGGAACACCGAUGGCGAAGGCAGCCUCCUGGGCUAGUACUGACGCUCAUGCACGAAAGCGUGGGGAGCAAACAGGAUUAGAUACCCUAGUAGUC
rnacentral:rRNA from 1 species